GUCAUAUUUCACUUUUUACAAAAUCUUCAGUGUGGUCAGUUUUGCAGAUGUCAAUAGAAAGAGUGCCGAGUUUUUUUUUCGAUUUGAGCUACCUGUUCAGUGAAUUUGAAAGAUUUUUAUAAUGAGAGUGAAGUUUGGACGAAGAUAUAAGUAAUCGAAGAUUUCCAGAAACUGUAUCCUCAUACAGCUGCCACUUCCUUUAUUGAAAAAAAAAAGGAAAAUUACCACGGAAAAAUUUCUGGAAAAUUACAAAGACGAUUUGAAAGAUUCAAAAUGUCUAAAGCUUUUGGAGAAAGUUAAAGCGGAGGACUUACCUGAAGAUAUCCGAGAUUUUUCCAUUUUUCAAAUACUGCAUGGAAUUUUAAAGCCGGAUAUUGGGAAGGUAAAUGGUAGAAUGGUCAAGCAUACUAUUAAGGACAGUCAGGAAGGACUUAUGCUGGAAACCAGGGACAUGUCUGAGUUAAAGAAAAAACUUGACAAGAGAUAUGAGGCAGCGGCUGCGAAUAAAAAUUCUGUCCAGCCUUUCAUCAUCAUUGAAAAUAAAUCAAUGAAAAAGGCCUCAAUAUAUCAUGACGGAAAGUUUGUAACUUUCUUGCAAAAUUCUUUUUUGACAUCAAAGACGAAAAAACUAAUGCACAAGUCAAAUCAUUGUGUAAAAAAUUAAAUGCCUAACAAAUAAAGUUCCCAAGAAAAAACGA